GAAAAUAUAGCCUUGCAAAGUUUGCAUAUUUUGUAUACAAAUAUACUGAAAAUAUGCAAACUUCGCAAGGCUAUAUUUUCUGCAUUUU